rnacentral:rRNA from 1 species
UUGAACGCUGGCGGCAGGCCUAACACAUGCAAGUCGAACGGUAACAGGAAGAAGCUUGCUUCUUUGCUGACGAGUGGCGGACGGGUGAGUAAUGUCUGGGAAACUGCCUGAUGGAGGGGGAUAACUACUGGAAACGGUAGCUAAUACCGCAUAACGUCGCAAGACCAAAGAGGGGGACCUUCGGGCCUCUUGCCAUCGGAUGUGCCCAGAUGGGAUUAGCUAGUAGGUGGGGUAACGGCUCACCUAGGCGACGAUCCCUAGCUGGUCUGAGAGGAUGACCAGCCACACUGGAACUGAGACACGGUCCAGACUCCUACGGGAGGCAGCAGUGGGGAAUAUUGCACAAAGGGCGCAAGCCUGAUGCAGCCAUGCCGCGUGUAUGAAGAAGGCCUUCGGGUUGUAAAGUACUUUCAGCGGGGAGGAAGGGAGUAAAGUUAAUACCCUUGCUCAUUGACGUUACCCGCAGAAGAAGCACCGGCUAACUCCGUG